AGAUCCAGACCUCCGUCCGCCUCGUCCUCCCCGGCGAGCUCGCCAAGCACGCCGUCUCUGAGGGUACAAAGGCCGUCACCAAGUUCACAUCCGCUUAGAUACCCUGCUCUUGUGUUUUCUCUGAAUGUGUUGAUUUCUCCUGGCUGUUGAUGAAUCCAUUGUUCGUUGUAGUUAGAUGUUCAGAGUGCAUCAUCUUGUAAUUUGUGACGACACAAAUGUUUCAGGAUCCGGAGGAAAUAGUAAUGGUGUUGCUUUGAUCUGUUUCAUGCCUGCCUAUCAUGCUGAAUCCAUGCCAUGUCUCCUAUUCUACUGAUUUGUCAGUCCAUGGUCGUUUCUAAAUGCCCGCAGACCUGAACAUUGCAAAUGUCUGCAGACUGAUGGCGUGGGGGUUGAAACGGCUGGUGCUCGACGAAAGAGCACCACGUCGAUGACGGCUGUGUGCCUGUGUCCAGCUUGUGAUUAUAUCUGCUGAGAACAAAGUGAUUCUACCCGAAAAUAUAAUAUAACAAAGUGAUUCCUUAGUAAAAAUGCCAUGCUACCGUGGUGACAUAACUGUGCCAUAGUUCAUCUUCGGGAAAUCCACAAUGAAGAGCUCAAUUGUCCACACGAAUUAGGAUACAAUCGAGCACAAGUGUCUCAUUUUACUGUUGUUGCAGCACAAGUGUCUGUCCAUCUGCUCUUUAGUCUACAGGCCAGCAAAUUUUGCACUGCAAAAUAGCUCAAGACACAGGCCGUUUUCAGCACCUCUCUAGUUCGAUAUUGCUGCUCAGGACUCGAGACGUUCUUUUGCUGAACAAUUCUUGCCAUCUGACCAAGGUACAGCUCACUUCCAAGCUGCAGCAACCAUCUCUGCAUACACGAUGGCGGCUAAGCAACUACGCUGCUUCAGACAGCAAUGCAUUUUUCCACGAUCCCGAAAGAUUGCUUGCAUUUUACAGUCAGAAUGGACGAGCACUGUCGCGCUGUUAGAUUUCUCUUUGUUCCAUUGCAAUUCUAUUUGCAGUCAGGGAUUUUUUGUAAGGGAACCUCGUCAGAGGGCAAGGUACUAAAGAUAGAAAUGAACCGAUUUAUAAGGAACUAGGAAAAACUACAUCAUAAACAAGAAGAGAAAAACAGCUCAAAAAGGAAAACAAGAAGAAAAAAAGGGAACGCGCAAUAGCUACGACGACCCAAACCGACCACCACCACCUAACACGAUCCUGCCUGACCCAAACCGGCCACGACCACUACCUGGAGUGACCGAGAGCAAGAUCUUUGGAGACGGCUUCAAGAAGUAAGACUCAUGGGGGUCACCUGGUUUUGAAAUUGAUGUGAAUUUUUUAACUGAAAUUGACAUGUGUUAUUGGAAUGGAUAUGUUUUUGUCUACUGACAUAAAAUCAUUCUUUCCGAAAUAUAUGGUAUCGAUAUUAUUUUUUGGAACUGAAAUUGUCAUUUGUGGUACCGAAAUCGUGUUUUGUCAUACUGAAAUAUAUAAUUUCAUUUUUCUAAACAGAGCCAAAAUUAUUUGCUGAAAUUGAUAUUACUUAUCAAAAAUGAAUUUUGUUAACGAAUAUUUAUAUUGUGAUGGAUUGGACACUAAAAUUUGGUAAUGAUAUGAAUCUGUUACUCACACCAAUCCAAAAAAAGUGUCGGGUUUAGUAUAAAGUUGUACUAAACCCGUGACACUUAUUUUGGAUCAAAGGGAGUAUUUGUUACUGAAAUACCUGUCACUUUAUUAGGAAACAUGUGAUUUUUUUAUUGAAAUUGGCAUGUGUUACCGAAAUGGAUAUAAUUUUGUCUACUGAAAUGAAAUAAUUCCUUUUUAGAGUAUUCUGAUUUGUUGUAUUGAAAUCGCCGAAUUUGUGUUGCGUGGUACUGAAAUANNNNNNNNNNNNNNNNNNNNNNNNNNNNNNNNNNNNNNNNNNNNNNNNNNNNNNNNNNNNNNNNNNNNNNNNNNNNNNNNNNNNNNNNNNNNNNNNNNNNNNNNNNNNNNNNNNNNNNNNNNNNNNNNNNNNNNNNNNNNNNNNNNNNNNNNNNNNNNNNNNNNNNNNNNNNNNNNNNNNNNNNNNNNNNNNNNNNNNNNNNNNNNNNNNNNNNNNNNNNNNNNNNNNNNNNNNNNNNNNNNNNNNNNNNNNNNNNNNNNNNNNNNNNNNNNNNNNNNNNNNNNNNNNNNNNNNNNNNNNNNNNNNNNNNNNNNNNNNNNNNNNNNNNNNNNNNNNNNNNNNNNNNNNNNNNNNNNNNNNNNNNNNNNNNNNNNNNNNAAAUUUGGGGGCCCUUGAUAUAAACAUCAUAUGCAUAUUAUCUUCAAAUUUACUUGUAACAUUCUUCGAUGCAAAGUCACUUAUGAUUGUGUCGAUUUCAAUGUCAUCCACUUCUCGAUGCAUAAUGUUGCCUAUCCAUUUAAGAUGUUUCAGGUAAUUGUAUAUCCCAAAUGGUUGUACAAUAAUUUCUAAUUUGAAAAGCCUUUUUAUCUGAGAUGCAACAAUCACAUACACAGUAAAUAUGAAUAAAUCUUUAAACACUAUGACUUUCUUAAAUCCUUUACUUGAGUGAAGUGAUUCAUAUCAACCAAAGCAAACAAAUAUUUAACAUGAAAAUCCUUCUCAGCUUCUAGAAUUUCAUUUUGGCAACUACUUUUAUCAAAUUGUUUCUUCCUCAAAGCACGAAGCUGUACUUGAAACUAUAGGGAAUAGUAAUAUGAUACGUAGUACCUCAGAUUGAUUAGAUCAGCAUCAAUCAUUGGACGCUGGGCGAUGAUGUGAUGUGGAUUUCUGGUGGCGAGCACUCGGCGAUGUACGCGUGCGCCCCACUCCGGCAGUGUCAAAUUUCAGGGGCUAGGCGAUGUUCGUGUUGCGUCGUCACCGCGACCAUGAACACGAACUGGAGUUUGGAGCAGAACAAAUAAUAUAGGAAAUUACAGAUGAAAUCACGUUACAUGAUCAUUUUUCUUUUGGAGGGAGAUUGUCUCAGGAUAGUAAUAAGGAAUAAAGCAAACGGGCGACGUGAUUUACGUGCGUUACGCUGAUUUGUUUCCUUACGAUGGUACACUGAUUUACAUGCAUACGCUGCCUGCUGUCCCUUCCUUUCUGGACCUGGGCUACUUCCAUGUUUUCUAUGUGAAGCUACGGCCUAUGGGUUAGUUUACCCAACGUACAUCACAUCUGGGAGGCCCCCCCUAGAUCUUGGGGGCCCGGGGCGGCCGCCCCCCUGCCCCCCAUCAGGGCCGGCCUUGAGAGAGAGAGAGAGAGGGUGGAUACACCAUGGGCAUGGGUGUACAAUUUUUUCUGCAAAAAAAUCUUAUAUAUAGGCAUAUAUAAGAUUAUAAGAUAUCUGAAAAAAACUUAUAUAUAGGCAAAUAUAUGGCACAUGCAAAAAAAUCAAUAUAUGUCAGCAACCACGGGAGUAGCCGGCCACUUCUGUCCAUUGUCUGUGCAGCCCAUUUCAGAUGUACCCGUGAUCGGCCGAGUUUAGCAGCAGCUAGAAGCCUGUUAGGUCGGCAGCAGCCAGCAAUUUCUAUCUAGUGUCCAUUGUCCGCUAGUUCAUUUCGUACAUGAUGAAUGCUUACAAAUCAUGACCAUUUCGGAGUUGUUCUUGUUGGACAUGAUCAAUGACAACCAUGGUCUGGCCCCCAAUGGAGUAUGAAUUGGGGACACCGCAUUUGAAGUUGGGACAACAUCCGAUUCCAAUCCGAGCAAGAAAAAGAAGAUGGGAAAGACGGCGAAGGCAAGAGGUCAGGUAUUCUCAACUUUUGAGGAUAUCUUUGUUGGUCAAAGCUUGGUUGGCCACAACAAUGGAUCCAAUAUGCGGCACCGAGCAAAAGGGGACAAGUAUUAGGAGAAGAUUUGAAGGAGUAUCACGAACAAAAGGAAUAUCUGGAGCCGCAUCCUAUCAUGACCAACCGCAAUGUGGCAUCUCUCCAACAUCGAUGGGGGGUCAUUCAAGGGAAGUGAACAAGUAUGUUGGCUACUACUCACAAGUGACCAAACGCCCUUAAAGUGGGAUGAGAGUGACAACUCACGUAAGCUCAGUUGCUUGAUCUUGUCAUCAUUUGCAUGUGCUUCGUGUGUUCGCAUUCUCGUGCUCAUACAUAUGUUGUUUCCUAGCGGCGGUGGUGGCCACUUUGUAUCACGAAACGAAGAAGCAGUUGUUUUCUUUUAGCCAUUGUUGGAUCAUAUUGAAUGGAGUGCUAAAAUGGACAAAACUUGUGGCUGAUCUCAAGGACGGCAACAAGAGGAAUGAUGGCUCAAGCUCCCACCAAUCAAUUGGGUUGGACGAUGAAGAGGACGAUAUUUUCGUCGAGAAUGGAAGAGCCGCGUGACAAAGGAUAACCAGCAAGUCAUGGGAAACAAGUGGGAGAAGACAAGGGCCUCCUGUGACGCCGCGGCUACAAAAAUGUCCUCUACAUUGACGGGCAUUUUUUCGACGAGGGAGAACAAGAAAGAGGAGAGAUACAAGCCCAUGUUGGAUGUGCAAAAGGAGAUGAUGGAUUGGGAUCGGAGAGGGCGUAGAAGAAGCUGGAAAUUGAGAGGGAGAAGAUCGAGUUCGAGAAGUAAGAGGCGGCGAUCAAAUGGGAGCUCGAGAAGGCCAAGACAUUUUGAGAGAUUGAGCUUGAGAAAGAGAGGUUAGAACUCGCACGGGAAGCGGAGGAUGCGAAGAUCAUGUUGGCGGAUGAAACCCUCUUGGAUGAGCAUGCAAAGAAGUGGCUUGCGGAGAAGAAGAAGUAGAUCAACGAGCAUAGGGAGUACGAGGCGGCGAGGGCAGCAAUGGCAACAAUGGAGCAUGCGACAAGGAUGCACGCGGAGCAGGAGGCAAGGAUGGCCUCAGAGCAGACGACAUGGACAACAUCCGACCAGUGAUCCGGCCAACAAGCGAGGCAUCUAUCACGCUCGGACAUUUAUUUCACUUUGGCAUAUCUGGAUUUAUUGAACUAUGAUUUGUAUCGUAUGGUCGAUGUGCAUGGAUUUGAGGCCCCGCAUUUGAGGUAUGUGGAUGUGCGUAAAAUCAUAUGAGGGGCCAGUAGGCUGUCCGCGGACACGCCCGCGGGCGUAUAGGGGUCAGGAUUUGCCAAAUUUGGCUCUAGAUGGUCCCAGUCUGUCACCCAGCAGCCAACCGGUUCCUUCUUCAGCUCUUACCUUCGAUGAGGCAGCGACGCGAUUAUGUGCCAGACUACCGAUGGCGAGCCACAACCAGCCAAGGGAGCCACCGACACUGGAGCUCCCCAUGGUUUCCGCGGGGGACACGGACAAGUCGUGCUCGCCCAAUGCCAUGCUACCACCGCUGGCGGGGAGGAGCAUAUCAAUGCGGAAUGGACCAACAACCUCAAUCUCUAGGCCUAAGGUUAUGUCCAACGGCAACCCACAAAUUUCCUCCCGCAUCCGUCCGCGGACAGGGGGGAUCAGUCCAUGAACACGGAUGCGGGAAGACGCCAUCAACAGUUGCCGCAUUGCUAUCACUUUUUCAACAGACCAGAUGCAAUUCAUGCAAACACAGCGGAUUUCAUGUAAAUCGGACAAAAUUCAUUACAUUGUGGACAUAUUUUAACUAAAAUAGGUAAAACUAUGUGCACAUCCAGCUGCGUGGAGCUCCAUUCCCACGACACGAGUACACUACACUAGUCUACGACCAGCCGUGACAGAUCCCUUUGUCUUUCCCAUGUCCGGCAGCCCGCUCAUCGGAGUGGAAAAAGGGGUGCUUCAGUGGGAGAGGGUUGCGGGCUUCGCAUCCGUGAAGCCCAGGCGGGGGUCGAUGAUGGCAGAGCCGCUCAUCGGAGUGGAACCCCUAUGAUGUGCUUCAGCCGAAGGGGAAGGGGAAGACAAUGGUAUGCGACCGGGCAAGACAAUGGAUGUGUAUGCCGGUGUCACCUCCGCGGUGGCCUUCAUGGGACCCAAGCGACGGCGGCCUCCCGUGUUCUACUUCUCCUCGAUGACCUCGGCGGGCGUGGACAUGCUGGACGCUGCGUCGUUGCCGACCUCCACUGGCAGGGCGUGUUCAUGGACACAUUUAUGGCGGAUGGUGCGAGCAGCAGAAGCACGUUGCUGAAGGAUGUGCCUGUUGGGGAUCGUAGCAGAAAUUAAAAUUUUCUACGCAUCACCAAGAUCAAUCUAUGGAGUUUACUAGCAACGAGAGGGGAGGAGUGCAUCUACAUACCCUUGUAGAUCGCGAGCGGAAGUGUUCAAGAGAACGGGGUUGAUGGAGUCGUACUCGUCGUGAUCCAAAUCACCGAUGAUCCAAGCGCCGAACGGACGGCACCUCCGCGUUCAACACACGUACGGAGCCGUGACGUCUCCCACGCCUUGAUCCAGCAAGGAGGAGGGAGAGGUUGAGGAAGAAGGCUCCAACAGCAGCACGACAGCGUGGUGGUGGUGGAGUGACAGCUCUCCGGCAGGGCUUCGCCAAGCACACGCGGAGGAGGAGAGGUGUUGGGGAGGGGAGGGGCUGCGCCUUGGAUGUGGUGCUGCAGCCCUCCCCUCAUCCCUCUAUUUAUAGGGAGAAGGGGGAAGGGGGCCAGCCCCUCUAGAUGGGAUCUAGAGGGGGGGGCGGCGGCCAAGGGGAAGGUGGCUUGCCCCCCAAGCAAGGGGGGGGGGGGCGCCCCCUUUAGGGUUUCCCCCAAACCCUAGGCGCAUGGGCCCUAGGGGGGUUGGAGCCCAGCCCACUAAGGGCUAGUUCCCUUCCACCUACAGCCCAUAAGGCCCUCCGGGGCAGGUGGACCCUCCCGGUGGACCCCCGGAACCCCUCCGGUGGUCCCGGUACAAUACCGGUAUACCCCCGAAUAUUUUCGGUGACCGUAUGGUGACUUCCCAUAUAUAAAUCUUUACCUCCGGACCAUUCCGGAACUCCUUGUGACGUCCGGGAUCUCAUAUGGGACUCCGAACAACAUUUGGUAAUCACAUACAAACCUUCCUUAUAACCCUAGCGUCAUCGAACCUUAAGUGUGUAGACCCUACGGGUUCGGGAAUCAUGCAGACAUGACCGAGACACCUCUCUAGCCAAUAACCAACAUCAGGAUCUGGAUACCCAUGUUGGCUCCCACAUGUUCCACGAUGAUCUCAUCGGAUGAACCACGAUGUCGAGGAUUCAAGCAAUCCCGUAUACAAUUCCCUUUGUCAAUCGGUACGUUACUUGCCCGAGAUUCGAUCGUCGGUAUCCCAAUACAUCGUUCAAUCUCGUUACCAGCAAGUCACUUUACUCGUUCCGUAAUGCAUGAUCCCGUGACUAACUACUUAGUCACAUUGAGCUCAUUAUGAUGAUGAAAUACCGAGUGGGCCCAGAGAUACCUCUCCGUCAUACGGAGUGACAAAUCCCAGUCUCGAUCCGAGCCAACACAACAGACACUUUCAGAGAUACCUGUAGUGCACCUUUAUAGCCACCCAGUUACGUUGUGACGUUUGGUACACCCAAAGCAUUCCUACAGUAUCCGGGAGUUGCACGAUCUCAUGGUCUAAGGAAAUGAUACUAGACAUUAGAAAAGCUUUAGCAAACGAACUACACAAUCUAGUGCUAUGCUUAGGAUUGGGUCUUGUCCAUCACAUCAUUCUCCUAAUGAUGUGAUCCCGUUAUCAAUGACAUCCAAUGUCCAUGGUCAGGAAACCAUAACCAUCUAUUGAUCAACGAGCUAGUCAACUAGAGGCUCACUAGGGACAUGUUAUGGUCUAUGUAUUCACAUAUGUAUUACGAUUUCCGGAUAACACAAUUAAAGCAUGAACAAUAGACAAUUAUCAUGAACAAGGAAAUAUAAUAAUAACCAUUUUAUUAUUGCCUCUAGGGCAUAUUUCCAACAGUCUCCCACUUGCACUAGAGUCAAUAAUCUAGUUACAUUGUGAUGAAUCGUACACCCAUAGAGUUCUGGUGUUGAUCAUGUUUUGCCCGUGGAAGAGGUUUAGUCAACGGAUCUGCGACAUUCAAAUCCGUAUGUACUUUACAAAUAUCUAUGUCUCCAUUUUGAACAUUUUCACGAAUGGAGUUGAAGCGACGCUUGAUGUGCCUGGUCUUCUUGUGAAACCUGGGCUCCUUGGCAAGGGCAAUAGCUCCAGUGUUGUCACAGAAGAGAGUCAUCGGCCCCGAUGCAUUGGGAAUAACUCCUAGGUCGGCAAUGAACUCCUUCAUCCAGAUUGCUUCAUGUGCCGCCUCCGAGGCUGCCAUGUACUCCGCUUCACAUGUAGAUCCCGCCACGACGCUUUGAUUGCAACUGCACCAGCUGACUGCCCCACCAUUCAAAAUAUACACGUAUCCGGUUUGUGACUUAGAGUCAUCCAGAUCUGUGUCGAAGCUAGCAUCGACGUAACCCUUUACGACGAGCUCUUCGUCACCUCCAUAAACGAGAAACAUAUCCUUAGUCCUUUUCAGGUACUUCAGGAUGUUCUUGACCGCUGUCCAGUGUUCCAUGCCGGGAUUACUUUGGUACCUUCCUACCAAACUUACGGCAAGGUUUACAUCAGGUCUGGUACACAGCAUGGCAUACAUAAUAGACCCUAUGGCCGAGGCAUAGGGGACGACACUCAUCUUUUCUCUAUCUUCUGCCGUGGUCGGGCAUUGAGCCGUGCUCAAUCUCACACCUUGCAAUACAGGCAAGAACCCCUUCUUGGACUGAUCCAUAUUGAACUUCUUCAAUAUCUUCUCAAGGUAUGUGCUUUGUGAAAGACCUAUGAUGCGUCUCGAUCUAUCUCUAUAGAUCUUGAUGCCUAAUAUGUAAGCAGCUUCUCCAAGGUCCUUCAUUGAAAAACACUUAUUCAAGUAGGCCUUUAUACUUUCCAAGAAUUCUAUAUCAUUUCCCAUCAAUAGUAUGUCAUCCACAUAUAAUAAGAAAAAUGCUACAGAGCUCCCACUCACUUUCUUGUAAACACAGGCUUCUCCAUAAGUCUGCGUAAACCCAAACGCUUUGAUUCAUCUCAUCAAAGCGAAUGUUCCAACUCCGAGAUGCCUGCACCAGCCCAUAGAUUGAGCGCUGGAGCUUGCAUACUUUGUCAGUAUUCUUAGGAUCGACAAAACCUUCCGGCUGCAUCAUAUACAAUUCUUCCUUAAGGAAGCCGUUAAGGAAUGCCGUUUUGACGUCCAUUUGCCAUAUUUCAUAAUCGUAGAAUGCGGCAAUUGCUAACAUGAUUCGGACGGACUUCAGCUUCGCUACGGGUGAGAAGGUCUCAUCGUAGUCAACUCCUUGAACUUGACGAUAACCCUUAGCGACAAGUCGAGCUUUAUAGAUGGUAACAUUUCCAUCCGCGUCCGUCUUCUUCUUAAAGAUCCAUUUAUUUUCUAUCGCUCGCCGAUCAUUGGGCAAGUCUGUCAAAGUCCAUACUUUGUUUUCAUACAUGGAUCCUAUCUCGGAUUGCAUGGCUUCAAGCCAUUUGUUGGAAUCUGGACCCGCCAUUGCUUCUUCAUAGUUCGAAGGUUCGCCGUUGUCCAACAACAUGAUUUCCAGGAGAGGGUUGCCGUACCACUCUGGUGUGGAACGUGUCCUUGUGGACCUACGAAGUUCAGUGGUAACUUGAUCAUGAUCGUCAUCAUUAACUUCCUCUCUAGUCGGUGCAGGCACCACAGAAACAUUUUCUUGUGCUGCGCUACUUUCUGGUUCGAGAGGGGUCAUCUCAUCAAGUUCCACUUUCCUCCCACUUACUUCUUUCGAGAGAAACUCUUUCUCCAGAAAGGACCCGUUCUUAGCAACGAAGAUCUUGCCUUCGGAUCUGAGGUAGAAGGUAUACCCAAUGGUUUCCUUAGGGUAUCCUAUGAAGACGCAUUUUUCCGACUUGGGUUCGAGCUUUUCAGGUUGAAGUUUCUUGACAUAAGCAUCGCAUCCCCAAACUUUAAGAAACGACAUCUUAGGUUUCUUUCCAAACCAUAAUUCAUACGGUGUCGUCUCAACAGAUUUCGACGGAGCCCUAUUUAAAGUGAAUGCGGCAGUCUCUAAAGCCUAACCCCAGAAUGAUAGCGGUAGAUCGGUAAGAGACAUCAUAGAUCGCACCAUAUCCAAUAGAGUGCGAUUACGACGUUCAGAUACACCAUUACGCUGAGGUGUUCCAGGCGGCGUGAGUUGUGAAACAAUUCCACAUUUCCUUAAGUGUGUGCCAAAUUCGUGACUCAAAUAUUCCCCUCCACGAUCUGAUCGUAAGAACUUUAUUUUCCUGUCACGUUGAUUCUCAACCUCACUCUGAAAUUCCUUGAACUUUUCAAAGGUCUCAGACUUGUGUUUCAUUAAGUAGACAUACCCAUAUCUACUCAAGUCAUCAGUGAGGGUGAGAACAUAACGAUAGCCACCACGAGCCUCAACGCUCAUUGGACCGCACGCAUCAGUAUGUAUGAUUUCCAAUAAGUUGGUUGCUCGCUCCACUGUUCCGGAGAACGGAGUCUUGGUCAUUUUGCCCAUGAGGCAUGGUUCGCACGUGUCAAAUGAUUCAUAAUCAAGAGACUCCAAAAGUCCAUCUGCAUGGAGUUUCUUCAUGCGUUUGACACCAAUGUGACCAAGGCGGCAGUGCCACAAGUAUGUGGGACUAUCAUUAUCAACCUUACAUUUCUUGGCAUUCACACUAUGAAUAUGUGUAACAUCACGUUCGAGAUUCAUUAAGAAUAAACCAUUGACCAGCGGGGCAUGACCAUAAAACAUAUCUCUCAUAUAAAUAGAACAACCAUUAUUCUCGGAUUUAAAUGAGUAGCCAUCUCGCAUUAAACGAGAUCCAGAUACAAUGUUCAUGCUCAAAGCUGGCACUAAAUAACAAUUAUUGAGGUUUAAAACUAGUCCCGUAGGUAAAUGUAGAGGUAGCGUGCCGACGGCGAUCACAUCGACCUUGGAACCAUUCCCGACGCGCAUCGUCACCUCGUCCUUCGCCAGUCUCCGCUUAUUCCGCAGCUCCUGCUUUGAGUUACAAAUAUGAGCAACCGCACCGGUAUCAAAUACCCAGGAGCUACUACGAGCGCUGGUUAGGUACACAUCUAUAACAUGUAUAUCACAUAUACCUUUGGUAUUGCCGGCCUUCUUAUCCGCUAAGUACUUGGGGCAGUUCCGCUUCCAGUGACCGUUUCCCUUGCAAUAAAAGCACUCAGUCUCAGGCUUGGGUCCAUUCUUUGUCUUCUUCCCGGCAGCUUGCUUACCGGGCGCGGCAACUCCCUUGCCGUCUUUCUUGAAGUUCUUCUUACCCUUGCCUUUCUUGAACUUAGUGGUUUUAUUCACCAUCAACACUUGAUGUUCCUUUUUGAUCUCCCCCUCCGCUGAUUUCAGCAUUGAAUAUACCUCAGGAAUGGUCUUUUCCAUCCCCUGCAUAUUGAAGUUCAUCACAAAGCUCUUGUAGCUAGGUGGGAGCGACUGAAGGAUUCUGUCAACGACCGCGUCAUCCGGGAGAUUAACUCCCAGCUGAGACAAGCGGUUGUGCAACCCAGACAUUUUGAGUAUGUGUUCGCUGACGGAACUAUUCUCCUCCAUCUUACAACUGUAGAACUUGUCGGAGACUUCAUAUCUCUCGACCCGGGCAUGAGCUUGGAAAACCAUUUUCAGCUCUUGGAACAUCUCAUAUGCUCCGUGCUGCUCAAAACGCUUUUGGAGCCCCGGUUCUAAGCUGUAAAGCAUGCCGCACUGAACCAGGGAGUAAUCAUCACUACGUGACUGCCAGGCAUUCAGAACGUCUUGAGUUGCUGGGAAAACAGGUGCAUCACCUAGCGGUGCUUCAAGGACAUAUGCUUUCUUGGCAGCUAUGAGGAUAAUCCUCAGGUUACGGACCCAGUCCGUGUAGUUGCUACCAUCGUCUUUCAGCUUGGUUUUCUCUAGGAAUGCGUUGAAGUUGAGGGCAACAUUAGCGUGGGCCAUUUGAUCUACAAGACAUAUUGUAAAGGUUUUUAGACUAAGUUCAUGAUAAUGAAGUUCAUCUAAUCAAAUUAUUAACGAACUCCCACUCAGACAGACAUCCCUCUAGUCAUCUAAGUGAUACAUGAUCCGAGUCAACUAGGCCGUGUCCGAUCAUCACGAGAGACGGACUAGUCAUCAUCGGUGAACAUCUUCAUGUUGAUCGUAUCUGCUAUACGACUCAUGUUCGACCUUUCGGUCUCUUGUGUUCCGAGGCCAUGUCUGUACAUGCUAGGCUCAUCAAGUCAACCUAAGUGUAUUGCGUGUGUAAAUCUGGCUUACACCCGUUGUAUGCGAACGUUAGAACCUAUCACACCCGAUCAUCACGUGGUGCUUCGGAACAACGAACCUUCGCAACGGUGCACAGUUAGGGGGAACACUUUCUUGAAAUUUUAGCGAGGGAUCAUCUUAUUUAUGCUACCGUCGUUCUAAGCAAAUAAGAUGUAAAACAUGAUAAACAUCACAUGCAAUCAAAUAGUGACAUGAUAUGGCCAAUAUCAUUUUGCUCCUUUUGAUCUCCAUCUUCGGGGCGCCAUGUUCAUCAUCGUCACCGGCAUGACACCAUGAUCUCCAUCAUCGUGUCUUCAUGAAGUUGUCUCGCCAACUAUUACUUCUACUACUAUGGCUAAUGGUUAGCAAUAAAGUAAAGUAAUUACAUGACGUUCCAGUUAACACGCAGGUCAUAAAUAAAUUAAGACAACUCCUAUGGCUCCUGCCGGUUGUCAUACUCAUCGACAUGCAAGCCGUGAUUCCUAUUACAAGAACAUGAUCAAUCUCAUACAUCACAUAUAUCAUUCAUCACAUCCUUCUGGCCAUAUCACAUCACAUGACACUUGCUGCAAAAACAAGUUAGACGUCCUCUAAUUGUUGUUGCAAACUUUUAUGUGGCUGCUAUAGGUUUCUAGCAAGAACGAUUCUUACCUACGCCAAAACCACAACGUGAUAUGCCAAUUUCUAUUUACCCUUCAUAAGGACCCUUUUCAUCGAAUCCGAUCCGACUAGUGGGAGAGACAGACACCCGCUAGCCACCUUAUGCAACUAGUGCAUGUCAGUUGGUGGAACCUGUCUCACGUAAGCGUACGUGUAAGGUCGGUCCGGGCCGCUUCAUCCCACAAUGCCGGCGAAUCAAGAUAAAACUAGUAACGACAAGUAAAUUGACAAAAUCAACACCCACAACAACUUGUGUUCUACUCGUGCAUAGAAACUACGCAUAGACCUAGCUCAUGAUGCCACUGUUGGGGAUCGUAGCAGAAAUUAAAAUUUUCUACGCAUCACCAAGAUCAAUCUAUGGAGUUUACUAGCAACGAGAGGGGAGGAGUGCAUCUACAUACCCUUGUAGAUCGCGAGCGGAAGCGUUCAAGAGAACGGGGUUGAUGGAGUCGUACUCGUCGUGAUUCAAAUCACCGAUGAUCCAAGCGCCGAACGGACGGCACCUCCGCGUUCAACACACGUACGGAGCGGUGACGUCUCCCACGCCUUGAUCCAGCAAGGAGGAGGGAGAGGUUGAGGAAGAAGGCUCCAACAGAAGCACGACGGCGUGGUGGUGGUGGAGUGACAGUUCUCCGGCAGGGCUUCGCCAAGCACACGCGGAGGAGGAGAGGUGUUGGGGAGGGGAGGGGCUGCGCCUUGGAUGUGGUGCUGCAGCCCUCCCCUCAUCCCUCUAUUUAUAGGGAGAAGGGGGAAGGGGGCCGGCCCCUCUAGAUGGGAUCUAGAGGGGGGGGCGGCGGCCAAGGGGAAGGUGGCUUGCCCCCAAGCAAGGGGGGGGGGGGGGCGCCCCCUUUAGGGUUUCCCCCAAACCCUAGGCGCAUGGGCCCUAGGGGGGUUGGCGCCCAGCCCACUAAGGGCUGGUUCCUUUCCACCUACAGCCCAUAAGGCCCUCCGGAGCAGGUGGACCCUCCCGGUGGACCCCCGGAACCCCUCCGGUGGUCCCGGUACAAUACCGGUAUACCCCCGAAUAUUUCCGGUGACCGUAUGGUGACUUCCCAUAUAUAAAUCUUUACCUCCGGACCAUUCCGGAACUCCUCGUGACAUCCGGGAUCUCAUCCGGGACUCCGAACAACAUUCGUUAAUCACAUACAAACCUUCCUUAUAACCCUAGCGUCAUCGAACCUUAAGUGUGUAGACCCUACGGGCUCGGGAAUCAUGUAGACAUGACCGAGACACCUCUCUAGCCAAUAACCAACAGCGGGAUCUGGAUACCCAUGUUGGCUCCCACAUGUUCCACGAUGAUCUCAUGGGAUGAACCAUGAUGUCGAGGAUUCAAGUAAUCCCGUAUACAAUUCCCUUUGUCAAUCGGUACGUUACUUGCCCGAGAUUCGAUCGUCGGUAUCCCAAUACCUCGUUCAAUAUCGUUACCAGAAAGUCACUUUACUCGUUCCGUAAUGCAUGAUCCCGUGACUAACUACUUAGUCACAUUGAGCUCAUUAUGAUGAUGCAAUACCGAGUGGGCCCAGAGAUACCUCUCCGUCAUACGAAGUGACAAAUCCCAGUCUCGAUCCGAGCCAACCCAACAGACACUUUCGGAGAUACCUGUAGUGCACCUUUAUAGCCACCCAGUUACGUUGUGACGUUUAGUACACCCAAAGCAUUCCUACGGUAUCCGGGAGUUGCACGAUCUCAUGGUCUAAGGAAAUGAUACUUGACAUUAGAAAAGCUUUAGCAAACGAACUACACGAUCUAGUGCUAUGCUUAGGAUUGGGUCUUGUCCAUCACAUCAUUCUCCUAAUGAUGUGAUCCCGUUAUCAAUGACAUCCAAUGUCCAUGGUCAGGAAACCGUAACCAUCUAUUGAUCAACGAGCUAGUCAACUAGAGGCUCACUAGGGACAUGUUAUGGUCUAUGUAUUCACAUAUGUAUUACGAUUUCCGGAUAACACAAUUAAAUCAUGAACAAUAGACAAUUAUCAUGAACAAGGAAAUGUAAUAAUAACCAUUUUAUUAUUGCCUCUAGGGCAUAUUUCCAACAGUGCCGACUUGGAGAUUCUGCCUCUGCGAGCUGGCAUGCAGCCGCCUGGACUGUCGACGGAGGCGGAGCUACAACUGCCUGUAUCAUCGUGGGAUGCAUAGCAGAGAGUUGCCUGACUCAUAUCCGGUGGGCUCGACGGGCCACCCAGCCAGCUUGUAUGCCGGAGAACUCGGCCUCCUGCUCGCCGGAUACCAUGGAGCUGCGGAGAAAAUGAAGGAAAUAUGCCCUAGAGGCAAUAAUAAAGUUGUUAUUUUCCUUAUAUCAUGAUAAAUGUUUAUUAUUCAUGCUAGAAUUGUAUUAACCAGAAACUUAGUACAUGUGUGAAUACAUAGACAAAACAUAGUGUCCCUAGUAUGCCUCUACUUGACUAGCUCGUUAAUCAAAGAUGGUGAAGUUUCCUGACCAUAGACAUGUGUUGUCAUGUGAUGAACGGAUCACAUCAUUAGAGAGUGAUGUGAUGGACAAGACCCAUCUGUUAGCUUAGCAUAAUGAUCAUUAAGUUUUAUUGCUAUUGCUUUCUUCAUGCUUAUACAUAUUCCUCUAACUAUGAGAUUAUGCAACUCCCGAAUACCGGAGGAACACCUUAUGUGCUAUCAAACGUCACAAGGUAACUAGUUGAUUAUAAAGAUGCUCUACAGGUGUCUCCAGAGGUGUUUGUUGGGUUGGCAUAGAUCAAGAUUAUGAUUUGUCACUCCGAGUAUCGGAGAGGUAUCUCUGGGCCCUCUCGGUAAUGCACAUCACUAUAAGCCUUGCAAGCAAUGUGACUAAUAAGUUAGUUACGGGAUGAUGCAUUACGGAACGAGUAAAGAGAUUUGCCGGUAACGAUAUUGAACUAGGUAUGAUGAUACCGAUGAUCGAAUCUCGGGAAAGUAACAUACUGAUGACAAAGGGAAUGACGAAUGUUGUUAUGUGGUUUGACCGAUAAAGAUCUACGUAGAAUAUGUAGGAACCAAUAUGAGCAUCCAUGUUCUGCUAUUGGUUAUUGACCGGAGAUGUGUCUCGGUCAUGUCUACAUAGUUCUCAAACCCUUAUUGUUGGGGAUAUAGCUACUAAGUUAACCCGCCCAGGAGGGGCCGGGUUAACUCCUGGUGACUCACAAGACAAAGCCCAUGAAGGAAUCGAAGAUGGCGGUUCAUGAGGAUGACUUAUGAAGAGCCCAAGGCCCAAAGGCGGCUUAAGGCCAGUAGGUGUAAACCGCCAUAUAUACGUGACUUGUAUUAUAAGUAGUUGUAAUUAAGUCACCGAGCCGGAUACGUUUAUGAGCCGGCCGGGACUCUGUAAGCCACCGGGCGUCAACCUGAGUAUAUAAAGGGACGACCCGAUGGCGAGUUAGGGGACAGACAACAAACCGAGAACUAG
rnacentral:lncRNA from 1 species